rnacentral:tRNA from 1 species
GAGNAGAGUUAAGAAACAAGGAAACUG